rnacentral:rRNA from 1 species
UACAGAGGUCCCAAGCGUUGUUCGGAUUCACUGGGCGUAAAGGGUGCGUAGGCGGUCGGGUAAGUCUGGCGUGAAAUCUCCAAGCCUAACUUGGAAACUGCGUUGGAUACUAUCCGGCUCGAGGAAUGGAGGGGAGACUGGAAUACUUGGUGUAGCAGUGAAAUGCGUAGAUAUCAAGUGGAACACCAGUGGCGAAGGCGAAUCUCUGGACAGUUACUGACGCUGAGGCACGAAGGCCAGGGGAGCAAACGGG